AAUGAACGCUGGCGGCGUGCUUAACACAUGCAAGUCGAACGGUAACAGGAAGAAGCUUGCUUCUUUGCUGACGAGUGGCGCACGGGUGAGUAAUAUAUAGGUAAUGUGCCCCUUGGACCGGGAUAGCCACUGGAAACGGUGAUUAAUACUGGAUACUCCUUUCAAUCAAAAGAUUGAUUGGGAAAUGGAUUCCGCCAAGGGAUCGGCCUAUAUCCUAUCAGCUAGUUGGCGAGGUAAGAGCUCACCAAGGCGAUGACGGGUAGCGGGUUUGAGAGGAUGAUCCGCCACACUGGUACUGAGACACGGACCAGACUCCUACGGGAGGCAGCAGUGAGGAAUAUUGCACAAUGGGGGCAACCCUGAUGCAGCAACGCCGCGUGGAGGAUGACGCAUUUCGGUGUGUAAACUCCUUUUAUAUGUCAAGAAAAUGACGGUAGCAUAUGAAUAAGCACCGGCUAACUCCGUGCCAGCAGCCGCGGUAAUACGGAGGGUGCAAGCGUUAUUCGGAAUCACUGGGCGUAAAGGACGCGUAGGCGGGUUUGUAAGUCAGGUGUGAAAUCCUACAGCUUAACUGUAGAACUGCACUUGAAACUACAAGCCUAGAGUAUGGGAGGGGCAGAUGGAAUUAGUGGUGUAGGGGUAAAAUCCGUAGAUAUCACUAGGAAUACCGAAAGCGAAGGCGAUCUGCUGGAACAUAACUGACGCUAAGGCGUGAAAGCGUGGGGAGCAACAGGAUUAAU
rnacentral:rRNA from 1 species